CCUACGGGUGGCAGCAGUGGGGAAUAUUGGGCAAUGGGCGCAAGCCUGACCCAGCAACGCCGCGUGAGGGAAGAAGGCUUUCGGGUUGUAAAGCUCUUUUAUCAGGGACGAAACAAGUGACGGUACCUGAUGAAGAAGCCACGGCUAACUACGUGCCAGCAGCCGCGGUAAUACGUAGGGGGCAAGCGUUAUCCGGAUUUACUGGGUGUAAAGGGCGUGUAGGCGGGAGUGCAAGUCAGAUGUGAAAGCUGUGGGCUCAACCCAUAGACUGCAUUUGAAACUGUAGUGCUUGAGUGCUGGAGAGGUAAUCGGAAUUCCGAGUGUAGCGGUGAAAUGCGUAGAUAUAAGGAGGAACACCAGUGGCGAAGGCGGAUUGCUGGACAGUAACUGACGCUGAGGCGCGAAAGCGUGGGGAGCAAACAGGAGUAGAUACCCGAGUAGUC
rnacentral:rRNA from 1 species